rnacentral:rRNA from 1 species
AUUGAGCGCUGGCGGCAGGCCUCACACAUGCAAGUCGAGCGGAUCAGCGGACGGGGGAGGAAUGCCUAGGAAUCUGACUGUUAGUGGGGGAUAACGUCCGAAACCGGGCGCUCAUACCGAUUACUAUCAGAAGAGCCUAGGUCGUCUUAGCUAGUUGGUGGGGUAAAGGCCAACCAAGGCGACGAUCCGUAACUGGUCUGAGAGGAUGGUCAGGCACACUGUAACUGAGAAACGGUGCAGACUCAGAAGGGAGGCAGCAGUGGUGAAGAGUGCACAAUGGGCGAAAGCCUGAUCCAGCCAUGCCGCGUGUGGGAAGAAGGUCUUCGGAUUGUAAAGCACUUUAAGUUGGGAGGCGUUACCAACAGAAUAAGCACCGGCUAACUUCGUGCCAGCCGCCGCGGUAAUAC